rnacentral:rRNA from 1 species
UCCCGGUAAAACGGGACGGCCCGCCAGAGGACCCCUAAACUCUGUUUCUAUAUGUAACUUCUGAGUAAAACCAUAAAUAAAUCAAAACUUUCAACAACGGAUCUCUUGGUUCUGGCAUCGAUGAAGAACGCAGCAAAAUGCGAUAAGUAAUGUGAAUUGCAGAAUUCAGUGAAUCAUCGAAUCUUUGAACGCACAUUGCGCCCGCCAGUAUUCUGGCGGGCAUGCCUGUUCGAGCGUCAUUUCAACCCUCAAGCACAGCUUGGUGUUGGGACUCGCGUUAAUUCGCGUUCCUCAAAUUGAUUGGCGGUCACGUCGAGCUUCCAUAGCGUAGUAGUAAAACCCUCGUUACUGGUAAUCGUCGCGGCCACGCCGUUAAACCCCAACUUCUGAAUGUUGACCUCGGAUCAG